AGAGUUUGAUCAUGGCUCAGAUUGAACGCUGGCGGCAGGCCUAACACAUGCAAGUCGAACGGUAACAGGAAACAGCUUGCUGUUUCGCUGACGAAGUGGCGGACGGGUGAGUAAUGUCUGGGAAACUGCCUGAUGGAGGGGAUAACUACUGGAAACGGUAGCUAAUACCGCAUAACGUCGCAAGACCAAAGAGAGGGACCUUCGGGCCUCUUGCCAUCAGAUGUGCCCAGAUGGGAUUAGCUAGUGGGUGGGGUAACGGCUCACCAGGCGACGAUCCCUAGCUGGUCUGAGAGGAUGACCAGCCACACUGGAACUGAGACACGGUCCAGACUCCUACGGGAGGCAGCAGUGGGGAAUAUUGCACAAUGGGCGCAAGCCUGAUGCAGCCAUGCCGCGUGUAUGAAGAAGGCCUUCGGGUUGUAAAGUACUUUCAGCGGGGAGAAGGGAGUAAAGUUAAUACCUUUGCUCAUUGACGUUACCCGCAGAAGAAGCACCGGCUAACUCCGUGCCAGCAGCCGCGGUAAUACGGAGGGUGCAAGCGUUAAUCGGAAUUACUGGGCGCCAGCGCACGCAGGCGGUUUGUUAAGUCAGAUGUGAAAUCCCCGGGCUCAACCUGGGAACUGCAUCUGAUACUGGCAAGUUUGAGUCUCGUAGAGGGGGUAGAAUUCCAGGUGUAGCGGUGAAAUGCGUAGAGAUCUGGAGGAAUACCGGUGGCGAAGGCGGCCCCUGGACGAAGACUGACGCUCAGGUGCGAAAGCGUGGGGGAGCAAACAGGAUUAGAUACCCUGGUAGACCACGCCGUAAACGAUGUCGACUUGGAGGUUGUGCCCUUGAGGCGUGGCUUCGGAGCUAACGCGUUAAGUCGACCGCCUGGGAGUACGGCCGCAAGGUUAAAACUCAAAUGAAUUGACGGGGCCCGCACAAGCGGUGGAGCAUGUGGUUUAAUUCGAUGCAACGCGAAGAACCUUACCUGGUCUUGACAUCCACGGAAGUUUUCAGAGAUGAGAAUGUGCCUUCGGGAACCGUGAGACAGGUGCUGCAUGGCUGUCGUCAGCUCGUGUUGUGAAAUGUUGGGUUAAGUCCGCAACGAGCGCAACCCUUAUCCUUUGUUGCCAGCGGUCCGGCCGGGAACUCAAAGGAGACUGCCAGUGAUAAACUGGAGGAAGGUGGGGAUGACGUCAAGUCAUCAUGGCCCUUACGACCAGGGCUACACACGUGCUACAAUGGCGCAUACAAAGAGAAGCGACCUCGCGAGAGCAAGCGGACCUCAUAAAGUGCGUCGUAGUCCGGAUUGAGUCUGCAACUCGACUCCAUGAAGUCGGAAUCGCUAGUAAUCGUGGAUCGGAAUGCCACGGUGAAUACGUUCCCAGGCCUUGUACACACCGCCCGUCACACCAUGGGAGUGGGUUGCAAAAAGAAGUAGGUAGCUUAACCUUCGGAGGCGCUUACCACUUUGUGAUUCAUGACUGGGGUGAAGUCGUAACAAGGUAACCGUAGGGGAACCUGCGGUUG
rnacentral:rRNA from 1 species